rnacentral:sRNA from 1 species
UGUUUUUUUUUUUCUUCCGGACAGUGACGAUUGAUAUUUAAGGUCUCGUUCGUCGUAAAAACGGCCGUAAAAAGCCUAUUUGCCGACCAUUCUGUUAUAUCACCACCCAUAUUCUGAGUCCUACUUUUUGACUUUUGUUUUUCAAUCUUUCUUCUAAUCGAUUUUUUUGGCCAAUGAUUUAAUCAAAAAAAUAGACAAGCAUAUGUCUGAAUUAAUCCUUGUUGAUAAAAUCUAAUCUUCUCUAUGAGGCCAAACAAUCUUUGGUUUGUUUUUGUUUAUUUGGAAAAAAGGGUCAAGUGAUGAUUAAUAAUGCAUAGUUCAAAUGAUCUCCAUGAUUACUAUUCA